rnacentral:miRNA from 16 species
CACGCUCAUGCACACACCCACA